rnacentral:tRNA from 1 species
GCCUCUUUGGCUCAGUGGUAGAGCGUCGCACUCGUAAGUUCGACAUGCGAAGGUCCACGGUUAAAUCCCGUGAGGGAGCA